AGGCACAUUUGAAAAGUAGAAGUUAAAGGAGAAUUCAGCUUUGUUUCAGUCUUUCAUAUUUCCCAUUAAUGUGACUCUAAGUUUGACGCUAACUUUGAUCUCUUUGCUUCAGAGAUUCAGGGAAAUUAAGAGUUCCAUGAAACAGCAGUUUAGCUCAAACUCCCAAACAUCUGCUCAGUCUGACUCCGUGGAAACAGAUUUUAGAUGCUUUCUGGCUGUAUGGAGAGCUGAGCAUUCAGCCUGAACAGUAUCUGUCUUUCCUCGGAUGUUGGGACGACGACAGUGAUUCCUGCAGCUCUAGAUCCGUCAGCUGUAGAUCCAUCAGCUGUAGACUCAUCAGCUGUAGACUCAUCAGCUGUGGACCCAUCAGCUGUAGAUCCAUCAGCUGUAGAUCCAUCAGCUGUAGAUCCAUCAGCUGUAGAUCCAUCAGCUGUAGAUCCAUCAGCUGUAGAUCCAUCAGCUGUAGAUCCAUCAGCUGUAGAUCCAUCAGCUGUGGCUCCAUCAGCUGUAGAUCCAUCAGCUGUGGCUCCAUCAGCUGUAGACCCAUCAGCUGUACAUCCAUCAGCUGUGGCUCCAUCAGCUGUAGAUUCAUUAACUGGACUUCCACAGCUGAUUUCUCUCUGGACACGUGGCGAUUUUAAAGCCAGGCAUCAACAGCAGAGCACAGAAACCCGAUCAGCAUCCAGAGGUAUGAUAUCUCUCAGGACUUACUGUUGUCUCUCUGGCUCCAUCCUGACUUCUGUUUGGUUUAUCACCUCAUAA